rnacentral:tRNA from 1 species
GGUGUUAUAGUAUAGUGGUCAUUAUAAUUCGUUGUGGUUUCAUUGACUACGAGCUCCGAAUAGACCCAGGUUCGAUUCCUGGUAACGCCA